AACGAACGCUGGCGGCAGGCUUAACACAUGCAAGUCGAGCGCCCCGCAAGGGGAGCGGCAGACGGGUGAGUAACGCGUGGGAAUCUACCCAUCUCUACGGAAUAACGCAUGGAAACGUGUGCUAAUACCGUAUACGUCCUUCGGGAGAAAGAUUUAUCGGAGAUGGAUGAGCCCGCGUUGGAUUAGCUAGUUGGUGGGGUAAAGGCCUACCAAGGCGACGAUCCAUAGCUGGUCUGAGAGGAUGAUCAGCCACACUGGGACUGAGACACGGCCCAGACUCCUACGGGAGGCAGCAGUGGGGAAUAUUGGACAAUGGGCGCAAGCCCGAUCCAGCCAUGCCGCGUGAGUGAUGAAGGCCCUAGGGUUGUAAAGCUCUUUCACCGGGGACGAUAAUGACGGUACCCGGAGAAGAAGCCCCGGCUAACUUCGUGCCAGCCGCCGCCGUAAAAC
rnacentral:rRNA from 1 species